rnacentral:sRNA from 1 species
AAGAAAGUGACUGCCGCCCCGCACAGGGGCGAAGCUAAUAGACCAAGAACAAAACAAGUUUCAUGAAGGCCCGAGCGCAUCAAACGGUUCGACAACAAAAUCCUAACCCCAAGCGCCAG